UAGGGGCGGGGUAAGUGUGGAGAUAGAGAAGACGCCGACGAAGACCACCUCCAAGCUCUUCAUCACCCCGGCGCUGAAGACUGAUUCUGGUAACUACACUUGUGGCCCCCAAUUUGCCGAGGCCGCCUCAGUCCUGGUGCACGUGGUGAACGGUGAGGAGUCAGCUGCUGUCCACACUGCCUCCUCUCCCGCUCUCCACAGCAACGCCCGCCUGUUGUGUUGGUGUCUGCUGAUGCUGCUGUGUCGGCACUGGCGGUGACCCUCUAUCCUGGAGUGUGUGGCCGCGCCGGAGCUGACAAAACCACUCAACACCGUACAUCAUCCUCACCACUCUGUCCGGUGAAGGUGAGGUCAAGCCAGACACAGUGCCCCUUCCCUCCCCCCUCACGCACUGUAGUGGAGGGGUAGGGUGGCCUCCCGACAGUACCCCCCACACAGUGUAUGUAUGGGAUGGGGAAGUCUAGCUGAAGUCCUUGUCUUCUCACACAGUCUGAUGGCGUGGCGGGGCAGACUCAUAUGGGUAUACCUUCCCCCGCACCGUAUGGGGGAGGGAGUGUUGGGGCGGGCAAGGCAUGGUACACAACCCCCCCACACAGUAUGGUAGUGGGGCAGUACAUGGUACACCCCCACACAGUGUUGUGGUGGGGCAGUACAUGGUAAACCCACACACAGUGUUGUGGUGGAGCAGUACAUGGUACACCCCCACACAGUGUUGUGGUGGGGCAGUACAUGGUAACACCCCCACACAGUGUUGUGGUGGAGCAGUACAUGGUACACCCAGACACAGUGUUGUGGUGGAGCAGUACAUGGUACACCCCCACACAGUGUUGUGGUGGGGCAGUACAUGGUACACCCCCACACAGUGUUGU